GACAAGCGACAAAAGGUCAUGCUUUUCAUGCUUGCAUGAAAAACCAUAACUUUGGAAUCUGUAAAAACAUGAGAAAGCAGCCCGAUCGGGCGGAUUUCGAAUUUUUUAGGAGUUCGGGAGUAUGAAAUGCGAAGCAAUCCGCAGCAU
rnacentral:sRNA from 1 species